UGCCAGCCGCCGCGGUAAUACGGAGGUUGCAAGCGUUGUUCAGAAUUACUGGGCGUAAAGGGAGCGCAGGCGGCCAAGUCAGUCUGAAGUGAAAGUCCGGGGCUCAACCCCGGAAGUGCUUCGGAUACUGCUUGGCUUGAGUACGUGAGAGGUGAGUGGAAUUUCAGGUGAAGCGGUGAAAUGCGUAGAUAUCUGAAGGAACAUCGGUGGCGAAAGCGGCUCACUGGCACGAAACUGACGCUGAGGCUCGAAAGCGUGGGGAGCGAACGGGAUUAGAUA
rnacentral:rRNA from 1 species